rnacentral:rRNA from 4 species
GGUUAAGCGACUAAGCGUACACGGUGGAUGCCCUGGCAGUCAGAGGCGAUGAAGGACGUGCUAAUCUGCGAAAAGCGUCGGUAAGGUGAUAUGAACCGUUAUAACCGGCGAUGUCCGAAUGGGGAAACCCAGUGCAAUUCGUUGCACUAUCGUUAACUGAAUACAUAGGUUAACGAGGCGAACCGGGGGAACUGAAACAUCUAAGUACCCCGAGGAAAAGAAAUCAACCGAGAUUCCCCCAGUAGCGGCGAGCGAACGGGGAGCAGCCCAG